ensembl:snoRNA
GCUGGUUGAAAAUCGCCCCCGGCUUUGGCCGUGGCCGGGGGUGAGAUGCAGCGCCCAGAGCCACCAGGGGCCUCAGCUCAGCGCCCAGCGCCCCGUGUGCGGCGCUGAAACCCAGGUCCCGACAGGC